AUGAGGCACCUCACCGAUGCUUUGGGGCCACGGUAUAACGGGAUUUCAGCACUGACCAGGCUCCCCGCAUGCAUUCGGUUGCCGUGUUCCGACACGAAGCACGUUCCCCUCCCUCACCUCCGCGGCUCUCAACAGACUGAAAACUCACAGGGCGGGGAUAACCCACCCGUAAACAGCCACCAGAGGCCGGGCCUCCCGACAGCGCACUCCCCGCUCUGCGGACGCCUCAGAAAGACGGCUCAAGCCACAGGAAGGGCUGCGAACAGCCCCUUCCCUAAGGCAGGCCUCCACCCCCCGCGCCGCCAUUACCCCGGGCCCCGCGCCGUACCACUGGGCGGCAGGGCGGGGGGAGCGGGCAGGCCCACCAUGGCGGGGGGCGGGGGAUGCCCGCGCAGCCCCACGCGCGGGUACGGGCGCGGGCACGGGAAGGAGCCGCUCUUACCUCCGGGCUGGCGGAGAGCGACGAGCGGGCGGGGCCUCCUCCGGCGCGCGGCGGUGACGUCACUGCCGGCGCCGCCGGGCGUUGCAGCACGCGUGUGCCGCGGCCCCUGGAAACGGGAAGGGGCGGGACGGGACGGUGGUCACCGCGUGCGGCCGGAACACCGGUGGCGGGCCAGUGUAAUUAAUAGAUUUCACUGUGAUGUGGGGGCAGACCAGCAAGUUACCAGAAGAGGGUGUAGCAGGAGUAAGCUGAAGCAUGAACACCCAUGUGCUGACCAGUACCUGCCUGCCUACGUGCACUUGCCACUCAGUGGAAGAGGGGUGAGUAUCUGAUGUUUCCUUUGGUAUGUCAGAAGACAGACAUUCACAAAAGGACAGUUACUGGCAGCUUCCUGGCUCAAUGGCAUAUUUAUUGUAACUUAUGCCUCUGCCUGUAUUCUGCAGAGACCAGAUAUAUGCAGGGAGCAGGGAGGCAGGGCGGGAACAGAGAUUUUACGGUGAUUUAUUACAAGGCAGAUGGUGAGUCCAGAAUGAGAGCCCAAGAUAUCUGGCUGCCAGGUUUGUGUCCUGCCACUAGAUAGGGUAAGAAGAGGAAUAGAGUCUUGAGGCUAACUCACAGGAAUGUCUCACAUCUUCAGGAACUAAAAAGCCUGUAGCAGUGACACUUAGGACAGUGGAAAAGAAGAGUAACCUCCAGAAUCUUCCAUCUUGUGAUGCAGUUUGCUGGAUUUGGGGACAGCAUAUGUGGCAGCAUAAGCCCAAGUGAACUUAGACUCACCUUUCAGUUAAAAAGUGCUCUGGAAAUGUCUUUUUUUUUCUGCACUCAAAUUAAAUUAGAAGGGCUUUAAACCUACUAAACAGACUCUUUUCCCUUUUGAAAAUAUAACAUUUCUAAUCAAAAUACAGAUGUGAAAGUACAUGGAAAAAGGAAACUGAGCUUGAUGUAGCUUUGUUUUAGGGAGGAAAAAUAAUAUAAUUCAAUAAGACUAGCUUAAACCCUCUGAUUAAAGCUUUUUUGACAUAACAGAUAGGGAGGGUGAGAUCUACACUGAGAUAAAGAUAGUUAGUACAGAUCAAAAGGGC
rnacentral:lncRNA from 1 species